CGAUUUGAUCCUGGCUCAGGAUGAACGCUAGCGGCAAGCUUAACACAUGCAAGUCGAACGGUAACUUUUGGUGCUUGCACCGAAAGACGAGUGGCGGACGGGUGCGUAACGCGUAUGCAAUCUACCUUUUACUAGGGUAUAGCCCAGAGAAAUUUGGAUUAAUCCCCUAUAAUAUCAAAAUUCCGCAUGGUUUUUUGAUUAAAGCUUCGGUGGUAAAAGAUGAGCAUGCGUCCUAUUAGUUUGUAGGUGAGGUAACGGCUCACCUAGACUACGAUAGGUAGGGGCCCUGAGAGGGGGAUCCCCCACACUGGUACUGAGACACGGACCAGACUCCUACGGGAGGCAGCAGUGAGGAAUAUUGGACAAUGGACGAAAGUCUGAUCCAGCUAUGCCGCGUGCAGGAUGACGGCCCUACGGGUUGUAAACUGCUUUUAUACAGGAAGAAACACCCCGACGUGUCGGGGCUUGACGGUACUGUAAGAAUAAGGAUCGGCUAACUCCGUGCCAGCAGCCGCGGUAAUACGGAGGAUUCGAGCGUUAUCCGGAAUCAUUGGGUUUAAAGGGUCCGCAGGCGGUUUUUUAAGUCAGAGGUGAAAUCCUGCAGCUCAACUGUAGAAUUGCCUUUGAUACUGAAAGACUUGAGUUAUUGUGAAGUGGUUAGAAUGUGUGGUGUAGCGGUGAAAUGCAUAGAUAUCACACAGAAUACCGAUUGCGAAGGCAGAUCACUAACAAUNAACUGACGCUCAGGGACGAAAGCGUGGGUAGCGAACAGGAUUAGAUACCCUGGUAGUCCACGCCGUAAACGAUGGAUACUAGCUGUAUGUCUACCUCAGGUAGAUGUGUGGCCAAGCGAAAGUGAUAAGUAUCCCACCUGGGGAGUACGAUCGCAAGAUUGAAACUCAAAGGAAUUGACGGGGGCCCGCACAAGCGGUGGAGCAUGUGGUUUAAUUCGAUGAUACGCGAGGAACCUUACCAGGGCUU
rnacentral:rRNA from 1 species